UUAUAUGCACCCUGUAGAAUCGAAUUUGUGUGGGGAUAGCUGUCACAGAUUCGUCUCUAGGGGGGUAUAUGGG